rnacentral:lncRNA from 7 species
ACUCUUCCUUCCCUUGCCUUCCCCCGCUGCCACAGCUGAAGCUCUGCCAAGAUCCCUUCUUCUCUUGGAAAAAGAAGGAAGUGUUUUAACUCUGCAUAACCCUCAAGUGAUACUGAGGGCUGAAGGGAAACUGGAACAAGCAGCAUUGCAUCCACUGUUGGCAUUCUCACAGUCCUGCCAGUCCACAGCUGCAGUUGCAAAGAGAUGAGCAGGCUUCUAGAUAUAGUGAUGCAUGUAGGUGUAUAUGCACAUGUGUGGCAGGCACAUUGCUCUGCUCUGCUCAACACUGAGUCAAUGAGCAUUUGACUAAAACUACAAAACAAUAAUAGCAAUAAAAUAUAGCAAAUGCAUAGAAAACUGGAUAUACAGCAUAUGUCUGUCUUUAUAGCUGUAACUUCAUGAGAACACAUUUGACUAAUGCUAUGACAAGCAAAUAAUAUUUUGGUAUAUCAAGAAAUAUUUAGUUAAUUUUCCGUCUUCUUCAAAUAUUGACCUGUAAUGUAAAGCGAUGUCAUGUUCAGACGAAUUUCAUUUCAUAUGCAUCAGAUAAUGGCUUCUCACUUCCUUCCUUCUUUCUCUUCAUCUUUUCUGCUGUCAACUUGUCAGCCGGGGUGUCAGCUUCAAGGAUGAUAUUCAUAUUAAAGGCUGCUGUGGUAGGUACUGAUACGAUCCAGGAUCACAUCCCAUUGACAGAAGACAUGUUCUGCACGUGCAUUGAGUCGCAUCCCUCCGGUCACUGACCACUGACAGUUGAUUUGGCACAGAGCUUGCUGGAUGAGCAUCUGGCAUCCUGGCUGAAGGACAUGUCUGAAACUAUUAGUGAUGAACCCCAUCAUUGGCUCGGGCACCACAGCAAGCAUACUUCAGGGCAGAUACCAUGAUGUCACUCAUUGUGGGAGUAGCAUUCAACCAGUAGGACAUGAGGACAAUCAUGAGGACAAGCCUCCAGGUGAACAGCAAGAUCUUGUUGCCCUUUCUUAUGCUAGAGAAGGGAGGCCAGUGUCAGGGUCCGGCCUUCAUCUAAAAGGUGGUUUUAGCCAUCAGAACAAGACCUAAAGGGCUCAGGAAGUGCACGUUGUGAGCUGGGCCCGAAUCCUAUGCUGAAGCCCCCCACAUUAACCUGGAGCUGUCAGCUAGAUCUACACAAUCAAACAAAAGUGUAAGGCUGAGCUGUUGGGCAAUUCCAAGAGAUAUAGCAAUGAAGAGAGUACUGGAAGAAGGACAAAAAUAUGCACUGUGAUCUGAGAGUUUUGCAUAUUCUUUUGAAAACAAAGAGCUUUCCCUUUCAUUUUUCCCCCUUUAUUUAUAGAGUGAAUAUUCUUAAAAUUCGUCUUUAAUAGAUCUAUUGCACCAGUUCGGUCUCUCUAAUAUGCAGUAGAAGAUUCAGCAUUUGAAAUAUCACAGAAAGAUAUUAGCUAACUGAGCACUAACAAUGUCACACGGAUGUCUGCUUAUCAUGCAAAUAGUUUAUUUAGAUGCAAAGACUAAUUAGACUCUAAUGAUUAAGAUAUGAAAAAUGGGAGUUCCUUUGUAUUGUUUCAGAGCACAUGACCAGAAUUUCAGUGCCUUUUCUCAAGUAGUUCAGAAAACAAUACUGAAGUUAGCAACAGAAAUGAGGGCCACGAACAGUGUAUACAAAGGAGGCUUGAUUUCUCAUACAGUGGUAGAGAAUGGGCUGCAGAACAGAUGCUUUUAAAUCAGCAGAGCAUUGUGCAAACAGCUGUUAACCAGACACAGCAUCUAAUUUCACCAACAGUACUCUUGAUUUUGCUGCUACCAUGCAGUUUCAGCAUGACAUUCAGAAAGAGCUCUCAGCUGGUUUAUGUAGUAAUUUGUAAGCCCUGCUUUGCAGCAGCGUAACUGACAGAUACUACCUUUGAGUUCCAGGAAAUAAUACAGCUUAUAACCUUUUGUGAAAUGUGAGUGAGUUCUCACUGAACCUUAAACCUAAACUGCUUCCUGACCUUUUCAUGAUCCCACACCUAUUAUUUUUCUCUCUAAAUGAUGCUCUACAUUUGUACAUCAAUUCUGUUUAUUACUGUUCCUGAAGAUGACUUAAUCAUC